GGAUUUGUGGUGUAGCGGUUAUGUUAGUACAUCCUUAUUCCCUACUUAUUAUCUCUGUAUAUAUACUAACAUUCUAUUAACAGCACGUUUCCUUUACAAUCGUAAAACGGAAAAGGCCCCCGGUUCGAUCCCGGGCAGAUUCA